UGGGGAAUAUUGCACAAUGGGCGCAAGCCUGAUGCAGCGACGCCGCGUGGGGGAUGACGGCCUUCGGGUUGUAAACUCCUUUCGCUAGGGACGAAGCUUUUUGUGACGGUACCUAGAUAAGAAGCACCGGCUAACUACGUGACAGCAGCCGCGGUAAUACGUAGGGUGCGAGCGUUGUCCGGAAUUACUGGGCGUAAAGGGCUCGUAGGUGGUUUGUCGCGUCGUCUGUGAAAUUCCGGGGCUUAACUCCGGGCGUGCAGGCGAUACGGGCAUAACUUGAGUACUGUAGGGGUAACUGGAAUUCCUGGUGUAGCGGUGAAAUGCGCAGAUAUCAGGAGGAACACCGAUGGCGAAGGCAGGUUACUGGGCAGUUACUGACGCUGAGGAGCGAAAGCAUGGGUAGCGAACAGG
rnacentral:rRNA from 1 species